rfam:Firmicutes bacterium CAG:137 genomic scaffold, scf131
AAUCACUCUUCGGGGAGCCGGACGAUUCCGGCUGAGAUUGGGCGAAGCCGCGCCCUCACCCGCAAACCUGAUACGGGUUAUGCCGUCGUAGGGAAAGAUGCAGAUAUGGAC